UAAACUGGUGCAUCAAUGAAUAAUAACUCAACAAGUAAUGCUCAAUCAAGGAGUCGAUUUACUUUGGGAGGAAAUGGACAUAUUGAUGGAUUCCUCUGCUUUGAACUGCUUGCAGAACUUGCCUGGACUAUGUAUCACUUGUAUGCAUUGUGAACUAUCUGUUGGUGCAGCGAAUUGUGGUAGUGCUGGCGUAUCUUUGCAGAUGGUGUCAUCGGUGGUACAAUUUUUCCAAAAAGAGC
rnacentral:lncRNA from 1 species